AUGAAGAUGCUCAUAAAGAUCUUCAAAAUACAGAUAAGGGAAUUAACGAAGAUGAAGGGUAACAUGAUGAUAGCCCUAUUGAUUCUUCUCCCAAAAGGACCAAGUUUGUUGAUGAUUUCCCUAACGAUGAAGAUCGUCUUACAGAUCAAAUUGAAAAUUACUUUCAUAACAACGAAGAAAUGGAAAAAGAAAAUCAGGAAGAUCAAGGGAACAAAGAUGAACAAAUUCAUGUUCGGGCUGGAUCCCAAGACAAUACCACUUCCAAGACGCAGCAAACACAAAGUUAUUCCCCAACAUUUCUCUCUAAAGCAGAAUAGGAAGCUUUGA